AAUGGGCGCAAGCCUGAUCCAGCCAUGCCGCGUGUGUGAUGAAGGCCCUAGGGUUGUAAAACACUUUCAGUGGGGAAGAUAAUGACGGUACCCACAGAAGAAGCUCCGGCUAACUCCGUGCCAGCAGCCGCGGUAAUACGGAGGGAGCUAGCGUUGUUCGGAAUUACUGGGCGUAAAGCGCACGUAGGCGGAUUUGUUAGUCAGAGGUGAAAUCCCGGGGCUCAACCUCGGAACUGCCUUUGAUACUGCAAGUCUAGAGACCGAGAGAGGUGAGUGGAAUUUCCAGUGUAGAGGUGAAAUUCGUAGAUAUUGGAAAGAACACCAGUGGCGAAGGCGGCUCACUGGCUCGGUACUGACGCUGAGGUGCGAAAGCGUGGGGAGCAAACAGGAUU
rnacentral:rRNA from 1 species